GCACACGAAGCCAACCGGUACGGCGUCUGAUUGUCUAUCAGAAGAUUGCGAGUUCAACCCUCGUCGUGUGCG
rnacentral:tRNA from 1 species